ACUUUGGAAGACAUAAGCAUGGACAGAAAGCCAUGGGCAUCCUUCACCUGAAAAACAAAGAAACUGAGCACUUGAGAUAUGUGAAGGGUCUUGGCCAGAUAGUCUGGUCACCCAUGCUGGAAAAGAGGCUUGUCCAGUGCUGGAGUGUGUUCUGGCUGGGGACUUUGUGUCACACAAUGAGGACUGAAACAUGCUCCUGCAACCCGGGCACGUCUUUCACUUUCUGGCUAGUCCCACGAGAGGCAUGUCUCCUCUCUGGGAGCUUCAGGGAGGCAGUCAUCGCAACAUCUUUUCCCAGCAUAUUUCAGAACAACACAAGUUCAGACAUCAGACAACAAUGAGCACUACAGUCGACUGCAAAUGCUAAUAAUGACUAGUCACAGGGGCAGAGCACAGCUGUGGAGGAGGUUGCCUUGCACUAGUGGCUCUGAUGGGCUUGUCUAUGCUGGAAACCGUGAGGCGAAUUCAUGAAGACAAAGAGUUUCAUGUUUAACACAGUGUCAGUUGGUUGUGGUUAACCCUACAAUGAUCCCAUUAUCGUAUUUGCGUAGUUGAAGUAUCAGUGUAUGAUUCCAUUUGAUUUAUUUUAAUUUUACUUCUGUACUAAGUUUUUCCUGUGCUUUUAGCUUGUGGCCAUUUUAACUGCACUGGACAAUCUAUCUCCGGUAUAUUUCAACUUGAUCAGGAUUAGAGCUGGGCAGGAAACUAUUUUCCUGUGCUGUGAAAAUUUUAGAUUUGAAAAAAAACCUUUGUCUUGAAUUAGCAUAAGAAGUAAAAAUCUCAAAAUUUUGUGGACCAAGAUUCUGGAAAAAUAUUGGGUUCAGAUCAAUCAAAAUGUUUUGUUUCAA